UAAAAUACUGAGCCUUUCAUAUAGUUAUUAUUUUAACUGCAUCCUGACAACUGUUUUGUGAAUUAUAUCUGCUAAAAUUUUAUCUAAGAAGUGCAAUGAUGGUCUAAAAUCAAUACUAGCUUUCUUUUGCAUGCAUCAAGUUAAUGACAAAUGAAGAAAAUGAAAUUUAAGGCAAAUUUUAAAGAAAACUUAAUAUAAAAUAUAAUUUAAUAUAAACAAUUUUAAUUUUUUUACACAUAAUAAUUUUAACGUAAUUUAAAGAUUUAAAAAAAUGUAUUUGUAAAAGGGACACUGACAUAUUUACUUCACAAGCACAUCUACAUGUUUUACACUACCAUGAUUUUAACCUCAUAAUUGAAAACAAGUACAUAUACCUAUAGUAAAUCGAAGUCAAAUAUCUGCGCACAUAUAUUUAAUAACUGAAAUUUUACAAUAAGAAAACCCCAUAAGAUCAAGACUACAGGCCUGCAGUCAUCGUGGGAACCUAUAAGUGAAAUGGAAUAACUACCAUCACAGUUAUAAGAUUAUAAAUCCAACCGGAAACAAACCAAUAUAUCCCCAAAACUGCUCCAGAGAAGAAACUACUGUAUUUGUACGACUCAGAAUCGGGCACUGUAAAUUUUCCCAUCAACAUCUCUAUGAUAGAACUAUCCCCCCCAACUGUCCUACAUGUAACACACGUCUUAACGCUACACACAUCCUUAACGAAUGCACUACCUACAACCCGUCCCGAUCUCUUCUUUUCGGAACAAGGAUACCAACCGAGCUACU